UUGUUUGUGUCAAACUUUUUGUCUAAGUCACUGUUGGUGGAGAAAACUAACUAAAACUAAUUUCUGGUUAUGUUCUGAUGAAAUGCCAGAAAUCACUAAAUUAUAGUCCUUGUACGUUUUUUGUGUUGUGUCCCUUAUGUAAGUCAUUGCAUUGUCUUUCUUUAUAUGAUAGAGAAGUUUUAGGGAUCUUUAGUAUUGCAGACCUUUCAGCAAAAUAUUUGUCUACAUGACAAGAAUUUAGGUGCCCCAUGUCUAUCUUUGCUAACUUCAUGCUUUUCCUCUUUUUUGUUAUCAUUGUGGUUUCACCUCUUUCUACAUAGUGGUAAGAUCUUGAGCGUUCUGUUAUCUGUGGCGGAGCCAUUAUUAUCUGAGGGGUGUCUGAUACCAUGUUGCUGGAGAAUUACACCGUGUGGAUAGGUAAAAAGAAAUUAUGUAUAUAUACUAUGUUAUCGAAUUUCCUUGGCUUUUUCAUUUGUUUACUUCUUCACAUUUUGAAUCCUCUUAGCGAAAAUCCUAGCUCCGUCCACUAGAUAUCUGAAGGACCCGAUCUUCAUUCAGUGAUGGCUGAGGGAUCAAAUGUGUUGGAAAGGAAAGAGAAUUCUAAAGGAGAAAGUGAAGAAAAGCUGCUGCAAUAUUUUUUGUAUUUCUGAUACUUCUUGAAGCCAAUGAGAACUGCCUAUAAAUAAGCUUAC
rnacentral:lncRNA from 1 species